UGCUAUUGAGUGGACUUGGACGAUGUCGG
rnacentral:sRNA from 1 species